UACGAAGGGUGCAAACGUUGCUCGGAAUCAUUGGGCGUAAAGCGCACGUAGGCGGCUUCGCAAGUCGGAUGUGAAAUCCCUCGGCUCAACCGAGGACGUGCAUACGAAACUGCGGAGCUUGAGUACUGAAGAGGAUCGCGGAAUUCCCGGUGUAGAGGUGAAAUUCGUAGAUAUCGAGAGGAACACCGGUGGCGAAGGCGGCGACCUGGUCCGUGACUGACGCUGAGGCGCGAAAGCGUGGGGAGCAAACAGG
rnacentral:rRNA from 1 species